rnacentral:rRNA from 1 species
CAGUCGCCGCGGGAAUACGUAGGUGGCAAGCGUUGUCCGGAAUUAUUGGGCGUAAGGGGCUCGCAGGCGGUUUCUUAAGUCUGAUGUGAAAGCCCCCGGCUCAACCGGGGAGGGUCAUUGGAAACUGGGAAACUUGAGUGCAGAAGAGGAGAGUGGAAUUCCACGCGUAGCGGUGAAAUGCGUAGAGAUGUGGAGGAACACCAGUGGCGAAGGCGACUCUCUGGUCUGUAGCUGACGCUGAGGAGCGAAAGCGUGGGGAGCGAACAGGAUUAGAUACCCCGGUAGUCCCUGUCUCUUAUAC